UACGUAGGGUGCAAGCGUUAAUCGGAAUUACUGGGCGUAAAGCGUGCGCAGGCGGUGAUGCAAGUCAGAUGUGAAAUCCCCGGGCUCAACCUGGGAACUGCAUUUGUGACUGCAUCGCUGGAGUGCGGAAGAGGAGAAUGGAAUUCCUGGUGUAGCGGUGAAAUGCGCAGAUAUCAGGAAGAACACCCGUGGCGAAGGCGGUUCUCUGGGACGGUACUGACGCUGAGACGCGAAAGCGUGGGGAGCGAACAGG
rnacentral:rRNA from 1 species